rnacentral:rRNA from 1 species
AUUUAAGUUGCUUGCAGUUAAAAAGCUCGUAGUUGGAUUUCGGGUGGGUCUUAGCGGUCCGCCUCUGGUGAGUACUGCUAAGGCCUAUCUUUCUGCCGGGGACGGGCUCCUGGGUUUAACCGCCUGGGACUCGGAGUCGGCGAAGUGACUUUGAGUAAAUUAGAGUGUUCAAAGCAAGCCUACGCUCUGAAUACAUUAGCAUGGAAUCACACGAUAGGACUCUGGCCUAUCUUGUUGGUCUGUAGGACCGGAGUAAUGAUUAAAAGGGACAGUCGGGGGCAUUCUUAUUUCAUUGUCAGAGGUGAAAUUCUUGGAUUUAUGAAAGACAAACUUCUGCGAAAGCAUUUGCCAAGGAUGUUUUCAUUAAUCAAGAACGAAAGUUGGGGGCUCGAAGAGA